rnacentral:sRNA from 1 species
GAAAAGCUGAAGGAACUCUUCCCAGUCCUUUGCCAACCGGACAACCCUUCUGUUCGGACCAUGUUGGAUGAAGAUGAUGUGAAAGUUGCUGUGGAUGUCCUGAAAGAACUGGAAGCUUUAAUGCCCAGCGCAGCAGGCCAGGAGAAGCAAAGAGAUGCUGAACACCGGGACAGGACAAAGAAGAAGAAGCGGAGUCGAAGCCGAGAUCGAAACCGAGAUCGAGACAGAGAUAGGGAACGAAACCGAGAUAGAGACCACAAGCGGAGACACCGAUCUCGCUCUCGAUCACGUUCCAGGACCCGGGAGAGGAAUAAAGUGAAGUCUAGAUAUCGGUCCAGGAGCAGGAGUCAGAGUCCCCCCAAAGACCGGAAGGACCGGGACAAAUAUGGAGAGCGGAAUCUGGAUAGAUGGCGGGAUAAGCAUGUGGACCGCCCUCCUCCAGAAGAGCCCACCAUUGGUGACAUUUAUAAUGGCAAAGUUACCAGCAUCAUGCAGUUUGGUUGCUUUGUGCAGCUGGAAGGACUAAGGAAGCGGUGGGAAGGCCUGGUGCACAUCUCUGAGCUCCGGCGGGAGGGUCGUGUGGCCAAUGUAGCUGAUGUGGUGAGCAAAGGCCAGAGGGUCAAAGUCAAAGUGCUGUCCUUCACUGGGACCAAGACCAGCCUGAGCAUGAAGGAUGUGGAUCAAGAGACUGGAGAAGAUCUAAACCCAAAUAGACGGCGAAAUCUUGUCGGGGAGACCAAUGAGGAGACCUCAAUGCGGAAUCCUGAUAGACCCACUCACUUGUCCCUUGUCAGUGCUCCUGAAGUAGAGGACGACUCACUGGAACGCAAGCGCCUCACCCGAAUCUCUGACCCAGAGAAGUGGGAGAUCAAACAGAUGAUUGCUGCCAAUGUCCUUUCCAAAGAAGAAUUUCCAGACUUUGAUGAAGAGACUGGCAUUCUCCCUAAGGUGGAUGAUGAAGAAGAUGAGGACCUUGAGAUUGAAUUGGUUGAGGAAGAGCCUCCAUUCCUGAGAGGGCACACUAAGCAAAGCAUGGACAUGAGCCCCAUUAAAAUCGUCAAGAACCCAGAUGGCUCGCUCUCCCAAGCAGCAAUGAUGCAGAGUGCCUUGGCCAAAGAAAGGCGGGAACUCAAACAGGCCCAGCGGGAAGCUGAGAUGGAUUCUAUUCCCAUGGGACUUAACAAACACUGGGUUGACCCUCUCCCUGAUGCGGAAGGCAGACAGAUUGCUGCCAACAUGAGGGGUAUUGGGAUGAUGCCCAAUGAUAUUCCUGAGUGGAAGAAGCAUGCCUUUGGGGGCAACAAAGCCUCUUACGGAAAAAAGACCCAGAUGUCAAUCCUUGAGCAGAGGGAGAGCCUGCCCAUCUACAAACUGAAGGAGCAGUUGGUCCAGGCCGUCCAUGACAAUCAGAUCCUGAUUGUCAUUGGUGAGACAGGAUCUGGAAAGACAACACAGAUCACCCAGUACCUGGCGGAAGCAGGCUACACUUCCAGGGGCAAGAUUGGGUGUACCCAGCCCAGAAGAGUGGCAGCUAUGUCGGUGGCCAAAAGAGUGUCAGAGGAGUUUGGUUGUUGCUUAGGCCAAGAGGUGGGCUACACCAUUCGAUUUGAGGACUGCACUAGCCCUGAAACAGUCAUCAAGUACAUGACAGAUGGGAUGUUGCUUAGAGAGUGCUUGAUUGACCCUGACCUCACUCAGUACGCGAUCAUCAUGUUGGACGAGGCGCAUGAGAGGACAAUUCACACCGAUGUGCUCUUUGGAUUGUUGAAAAAGACAGUUCAGAAACGGCAGGACAUGAAGCUGAUUGUCACCUCAGCCACCUUGGACGCAGUGAAGUUUUCUCAAUACUUCUAUGAAGCUCCCAUUUUCACCAUCCCAGGUCGAACAUAUCCAGUGGAAAUACUGUACACAAAGGAACCUGAGACAGAUUAUCUGGAUGCCAGCCUGAUUACUGUUAUGCAGAUCCAUUUAACAGAACCACCAGGUGAUAUCCUGGUCUUCCUGACUGGUCAGGAAGAAAUUGAUACUGCUUGUGAGAUCCUGUAUGAAAGAAUGAAAUCCCUGGGACCUGAUGUUCCAGAGUUAAUUAUCCUCCCAGUGUACUCUGCUCUUCCCAGUGAGAUGCAGACCCGAAUCUUUGACCCAGCUCCACCAGGCAGCAGAAAGGUUGUGAUUGCCACCAAUAUCGCAGAGACAUCGCUGACUAUUGAUGGUAUCUACUAUGUGGUGGACCCAGGAUUCGUGAAGCAGAAAGUUUACAAUUCCAAGACAGGGAUUGACCAGCUUGUGGUGACGCCUAUUUCUCAGGCUCAGGCAAAGCAACGAGCUGGCAGAGCUGGGAGAACAGGCCCAGGGAAGUGUUACAGGCUGUACACAGAACGUGCCUACCGAGAUGAAAUGCUGACCACCAACGUGCCGGAAAUCCAGAGAACCAACUUAGCAAGCACAGUGCUGUCACUCAAGGUAGAAAUCACUGUCUUGUUAAAAUGGGUUGGUGGAACAGUCCAAUCCUGGCCUUCAUAAAUGAAUCUCAGUUUUAUGAACCUUGUUAAAUACUUUAGUAACCUCAUGAAACUAGUCCCUUUGAGUGAAAUGCAAAUGGCUGUGAUAACAGCCUCUCACGGCAGGUCUGGGGCUAAGUUGGCAUGUCUGCUGUGAACACACAUUUUUUCUUACCAUAACAACCAGCAGGAUAUUAGGUUGUAAAAGGUUCUAGUUAGGAGCAUUUUCUAAAAGGAAAUUAGAAAAAUAUAAUCAAUGCCAAACUGUGGACAAACACACCUAACCUCAACCACUUUAGUGCUCAGAUCCAAUUCUGUUCUUUUAGAACGAGAGAAAAACCCCCUGUUCAAAAACUUUGCAAGGGAACUGUCAGUACAGAUUUCAGACUGGCUCUCAGGGGCUUGGUUUUCAUUCUGAAUCAUUGUUCUUCCUCUCUCAGUCCCCAGUGAGGACUUCAUUCUCUUUUGGCAGGAGGAGCUGUAUGAGUAAUUUCCCAGCUGAUGGCGUUUCCCCCGACACUGAUGCUACCCUGGAGCCCUGGCACUUUCUGGUGCAGAGUGCUCUGUUGUCAUUUAUUAUUUAUUCCCUGUAAAAGAGGCUGAAACAGAACUUUGGAAAGAAAAAAGAAACCUACUCCAGUCUCUGAAGUGCCAACAGAGAGGCAUCUGUGGCUCGGACUUCAGCUCCAAACUGUGACUUUGGGCAAGUUUAUUUACUUUGCCCUCUGCUCUGUGUUCUCCUCUGAAAAAGGGGCUGUUAAUAGUAUUUGUUGGAAAGAUAAGUGAGAUAAUGUAGGUAAAGGCACUUGGCACAGUGCUUGGUGAUUGCUAACAUAAUUCCUCAUAGUUAUUAUUCACACAAUAAACAUUUAUUGAACACCUGCUGUGUUUAUGGUCACGAUCACUUUAUGAGAAAAAAAUAGAAAGCUUAGGUCCUACCACAUCACACUUUAUAUACACUUGAAUCGUGCAUCAUUCAGUCGUUUCUUUUAUUCAUCGAAUUAGCUAAUGUAUUGAACACCUGCUACGUACCAGGCAUGUAGAUUGCACUGUGGUGGUUUUGUGAACAUAGUUCUCACCCAGUGUGAACUCUGAAAGCAGGGGCCAUAUCCUGGCCAUCUUUAUAUCCCUCCCACCUAACAUAGUAUGAGAUCCCUCAUAGAUAUAUAGUAGAAAUGAUGUAUGCAAUAGACAGGACAAGUUGGUAGACUUUAUUAUUAUUAUUAUUGUAAAAUACAUAACAACAUUUACUAUUGUAAGCUUUUUAAAGUAUACAAUUCAGUGGCAUUAAAUACAUUCAAGAUGUUGUACAACCAUCACCAACAUCCAUUUCUAGAACUUUUUCAUUGUCCCAAACAGAAACUCUGUACCCAUUAAACAGUGACUCCCCUUUCCCCCUUCCUCUAUCUCUUGGUAACUACUCUUCUACUUUCUACCUCUCUGAAUUUGUCUAUUCUAGAUAGCCUCAUUUAAGUGGAAUCAUACAAUAUUCUUUUGUAUCUGACCUGUUUCUCUUAGAAUAAUGUUUUCAAGAUUUAUUCAUGUUAUUUUCAAGGUUUAUCCAUUUAUUUCAUUCCUUUCUAAGGGUGAAUAGUAUUCUGUUGUACGUAUAUACCACAUUUUGUUUAUCCAUUCAUCAGCAGAUGGACAUUUGGAUUGUUUCUACCUUUUGGCUAUUAUCAAUAAUGCUGCUGUGAACAUUAGUGUGCAGGUAUCUGUUUGAGUCUGCUUUCAGUUCUUUUGGAUAUAUACCUAGAAGUGUAAUUGCUGGGUCAUGUGCUAAUUCUGUAUUUAGCCUAUUAAGGAACCACCAAACUUUUCUACAGUGGCUGCAACAUCUUACAUUCCCACCAACAAUGCAUGAGGUUUCUGAUGUCUCCCGUCCUCACCGACAUUUGUUAGUUUCUGUUUUUUAAAAAACUUAAACCCAUCCUAGUGGGUAUGAAGUGAUAUCUCAUUGUAGUUUUGAUUUGCGUUUCCCUAAUUACUACUGAUGUUGUGUAUCUGUGCAUCUUUUUAUGUGCUUGUUGGCCAUUUGUAUAUCUUCUUUGAAGAAAUGUCUAUUCAAGCUCUUUGCCUAUUUUUUAAAUUGAGUUGUUUGUCCUUUUGUUGUUGAGUUGUACGUAUUGUCAUUUUGAGAGAGUGUUAGGGUUUUGUUUUUGUUUUUUUUUUUUUUUUUGGAAGAUGUUUUAUCAUGUUGCCCAGGCUGGUCUCAACUCCCGGGCUCAAGCGAUUUUCCCUCCUUGGCCUCCCAAACUGCUGGGAUUACAGGUGUGAGCCACCAUGCCCAACUGAGAGAGUAUUUUCAAAAAGUUUCCUGAGAAAUUAUGUGCUUUCCUUUGGGAGGCCGAGGCAGGCGGAUCACUUGAGGUCAGGAGUUCAAGACCAGCCCAGCCAACAUGGUAAAACGCUAUCUCUACUGAAAAUACAAAAAUUAGCUGGGCAUGAUGGCGGGUGCCUAUAAUCCCAGCUACUUGGGAUGCUGAGGCAGGGGAAUCACUUGAAGGUAGAAGGUGGAGGUUGCAGUGAGCUGAGAUUGGGCCACUGCACUCCAGCCUGGGCGACAGAGUGAGACUCAUCUCAAGUAUGUGCUUUCUAUUAUAAUAGUCUGAGUUUUAUGUGGCCCAGCCCUGGAAGUUACUGCCAGUCUCACUGGUGGCUUCCUAAUUGCAAUUGAAGAAAUGGGAAAUAAAGUAACAAGUAGCUUCCCCACAUGCUGACACUGGCUAGACUGACCCUCUUGUCACAUGCCUUCUUCCUUUAUGUUCUAGGCCAUGGGUAUCAAUGAUCUGCUGUCCUUUGAUUUCAUGGAUGCCCCACCUAUGGAAACUUUGAUCACAGCCAUGGAGCAGCUGUACACACUGGGGGCCCUGGAUGACGAGGGCCUGCUCACUCGCUUGGGCCGCCGGAUGGCAGAGUUCCCUCUGGAGCCAAUGCUAUGCAAAAUGCUCAUCAUGUCUGUGCAUCUGGGCUGCAGUGAGGAAAUGCUGACCAUUGUAUCCAUGCUGUCUGUGCAGAAUGUCUUCUAUAGGCCCAAGGAUAAACAAGCCCUUGCAGAUCAGAAGAAGGCCAAAUUCCACCAGACUGAAGGGGACCACCUCACCCUGCUAGCUGUGUACAACUCCUGGAAGAACAACAAGUUCUCCAACCCAUGGUGCUAUGAGAACUUUAUCCAGGCUCGUUCCCUGCGCCGGGCCCAGGACAUUCGCAAGCAGAUGUUAGGCAUAAUGGACAGACACAAGCUGGAUGUUGUUUCCUGUGGCAAGUCCACAGUCCGAGUGCAGAAGGCCAUCUGCAGUGGGUUCUUCCGUAAUGCUGCCAAGAAAGACCCGCAGGAGGGUUACCGGACACUGAUCGACCAGCAGGUGGUCUAUAUCCAUCCUUCCAGUGCCCUCUUCAACAGACAGCCAGAAUGCCCAAAGCACUUCCUCCCCGUGGUUUCUGUAGCUGUCUCAUUGGAGCAGUGCCUCUCCAAGUUUGAGGAUUUGAACAAAGAACUGGGACUGGUGACUUGUUAAUGAACAGUUCAGAGGGCAGAGGGCAAUCAUCUCAGCUUGUGGAGACCUUUCUUUCCCUGGAUGCUGCUUCUCAGCUAAAUCCCUCUCUCUUUGUGUGUGUACUUGGCCCUCAGGGUUUCCACCCGAUUUUUAUACCUUCUUCCCACCAUGAUAGCUUGGCUUUAAUGUGGCAUUAAAUUAUAUAUUUUUAAAACCUGUU